AUUGAACGCUGGCGGCAUGCCUUACACAUGCAAGUCGAACGGUAACGCGGGGCAACCUGGCGACGAGUGGCGAACGGGUGAGUAAUGUAUCGGAACGUGCCCAGUUGUGGGGGAUAACUGCUCGAAAGAGCAGCUAAUACCGCAUACGACCUGAGGGUGAAAGCGGGGGAUCGCAAGACCAUGCCGAAUUGGAACGGCCGAUAUCAGAUUAGGUAGUUGGUGGGGUAAAGGCUCACCAAGCCAACGAUCUGUAGCUGGUCUGAGAGGACGACCAGCCACACUGAGACCGAGACACGGCCCAGACUCCUACGGGAGGCAGCAGUAGGGAAUUUUGGACAAUGGACGCAAGUCUGAUCCAGCCAUGCCGCGUGCGGGAAGAAGGCCUUCGGGUUGUAAACCGCUUUUGUCAGGGAAGAAACGCUCUGGGUUAAUACCUCGGGGUAAUGACGGUACCUGAAGAAUAAGCACCGGCUAACUACGUGCCAGCCGCCGCCGUAAUAC
rnacentral:rRNA from 1 species